rnacentral:rRNA from 1 species
AUGAAUAACACAAACCUUGCAAUCUUGAGCUAGAAUGUGUGAGGGUUGAACUCGCUGGCGAAGAGAACUGAUGUAUGUCAGGUUGCCGAAGCGCAGCGAGCGUCAAUUCUCUGUCUUCAAGAAACAAAGAUUGAGAGCUGGCUGCAAACCACUGUCAGAGACCUGGGAGGAAACACAUUAGAGGGUUGUGCCAUUCUCCCAGCCAUGGGCACUAGGGGAGGUGCUGCAAUCCUCUGGAACAAGAACAUUGUUAGCUUUGCAUCAUAG